rnacentral:rRNA from 1 species
GAAGUUUUCAGAGAUGAGAAUGUGCCUUCGGGAACCGUGAGACAGGUGCUGCAUGGCUGUCGUCAGCUCGUGUUGUGAAAUGUUGGGUUAAGUCCCGCAACGAGCGCAACCCUUAUCCUUUGUUGCCAGCGAUUAGGUCGGGAACUCAAAGGAGACUGCCAGUGAUAAACUGGAGGAAGGUGGGGAUGACGUCAAGUCAUCAUGGCCCUUACGACCAGGGCUACACACGUGCUACAAUGGCGCAUACAAAGAGAAGCGACCUCGCGAGAGCAAGCGGACCUCAUAAAGUGCGUCGUAGUCCGGAUUGGAGUCUGCAACUCGACUCCAUGAAGUCGGAAUCGCUAGUAAUCGUGGAUCAGAAUGCCACGGUGAAUACGUUCCCGGGCCUUGUACACACCGCCCGUCACACCAUGGGAGUGGGUUGCAAAAGAAGUAGGUAGCUUAACCUUCGGGAGGGCGCUUACCACUUUGUGAUUCAUGACUGGGGUGAAGUCGUAACAAGGUAACCGUAGGGGAACC